rnacentral:rRNA from 1 species
GAUGAACGCUGGCGGCGUGCCUAAUACAUGCAAGUCGAGCGAACAGACGAGGAGCUUGCUCCUCUGACGUUAGCGGCGGACGGGUGAGUAACACGUGGAUAACCUACCUAUAAGACUGGGAUAACUUCGGGAAACCGGCGCUAAUACCGGAUAAUAUAUUGAACCGCAUGGUUCAAUAGUGAAAGACGGUUUUGCUGUCACUUAUAGAUGGAUCCGCGCCGCAUUAGCUAGUUGGUAAGGUAACGGCUUACCAAGGCAACGAUGCGUAGCCGACCUGAGAGGGUGGUCGGCCACACUGGAACUGAGACACGGUCCAGACUCCUACGGGAGGCAGCAGUAGGGAAUCUUCCGCAAUGGGCGAAAGCCUGACGGAGCAACGCCGCGUGAGUGAUGAAGGUCUUCGGAUCGUAAAACUCUGUUAUUAGGGAAGAACAAAUGUGUAAGUAACUAUGCACGUCUUGACGGUACCUAAUCAGAAAGCCACGGCUAACUACGUG